rnacentral:piRNA from 1 species
UCUGGAAGGGAAAAGGCACUUAAAUGCA